rnacentral:rRNA from 2 species
GGCAUCACAAGUAUCAGAGGCACUGCCUGCCCAGUGACUUAAGUUAAACGGCCGCGGUAUCCUGACCGUGCAAAGGUAGCAUAAUCACUUGUUCCUUAAUUAGGGACUAGCAUGAAUGGCAAAACGAGAGCUCGACUGUCUCUUAUUUUUAAUCAGUGAAAUUGACAUCCCCGUGAAGAGGCGGGGAUACUACAAUAAGACGAGAAGACCCUAUGGAGCUUUAAUUUAUAUCUAAAUUUAAUUAUCCUUAUACCCUAAUGGACCAAAAAACUUAAAUAUUAGAUUAAAAUUUCGGUUGGGGUGACCUCGGAGCAUAAAAAACCCUCCGAACGAUAAUUACCAAGACCUACAAGUCUAAGUUAUCAAACAAUCUAAUUGACCCAAUUUUUGAUCAACGGACCAAGUUACCCUAGGGAUAACAGCGCAAUCCUAUUUAAGAGUUCAUAUCGACAAUAGGGUUUACGACCUCGAUGUUGGAUCAGGACAUCCCAAUGGUGUAGCAGCUAUUAAUGGUUCGUUUGUUCAACGAUUAAAGUCC